GCUGGCGGGAGCUGUCGGGCGCGCGGCCGGCGAUCCGGCGGAUCGCCGGGAUCACCCUGGCCUUCACCCUCGGUCACUCCGCGGCGCUCGCGC
rnacentral:tRNA from 1 species